rnacentral:rRNA from 1 species
CCCCUCGUCGGGGAUACCCGGGAACUGGGUAUAAUACCCGAUAGAUCUCGGCUGCUGGAAUGCAUCGAGAUCUAAAGCUCCGGCGCCUGAGGAUGGGUCUGCGGCCUAUCAGGUAGUAGUGGGUGUAGCGUACCUACUAGCCUACGACGGGUACGGGUUGUGAGAGCAAGAGCCCGGAGAUGGAUUCUGAGACACGAAUCCAGGCCCUACGGGGUGCAGCAGGCGCGAAAACUUUACAAUGCCGGCAACGGCGAUAAGGGGACCUCGAGUGCCAGGUUACAAAUCUGGCUGUCGUGAUGCCUAAAAAGCAUUGCAUAGCAAGGGCCGGGCAAGACCGGUGCCAGCCGCCGCGGUAACACCGGCGGCUCGAGUGGUAACCGUUAUUAUUGGGUCUAAAGGGUCUGUAGCCGGCCGGAUAAGUCUCUUGGGAAAUCCAGCAGCUUAACUGUUGGGCUUUCAGGAGAUACUGUCUGGCUCGAGGCCGGGAGAGGUGAGAGGUACUUCAGGGGUAGGGGUGAAAUCUUGUAAUCCUUGAAGGACCACCAGUGGCGAAGGCGUCUCACCAGAACGGACCUGACGGCAAGGGACGAAAGCUAGGGGCACGAACCGGAUUAGAUACCCGGGUAGUCCUAGCCGUAAACGAUACUCGCUAGGUGUCGGCCACGGUGCGACCGUUGUCGGUGCCGUAGGGAAGCCGUGAAGCGAGCCACCUGGGAAGUACGGCCGCAAGGCUGAAACUUAAAGGAAUUGGCGGGGGAGCAC